GCCUGGUCCACACCUGAUCUCUAUCUCUCCUGAUUAUCUGCCUCGGUGUCUAAUUGGUUCUUACCUCACUCCCCUCUGUUUAUUAGCUCUCUGGUUCUCUUUGUUCUUCACUGGUUCCUCGGUCUGGUCACCCUCGCUCAUGUCUGUUCCGGCCAUGACAGUACCUAUGCCUACGUUUUGUGCUACAUUCCUGCAGUGACUCCAUUUGCAGUUUGACCCUGUGAAACACAGACCUUCAAACAGGGGACAGAAGUGCCUCCAGCAGGUGAUGCACCCCUGAGAUGUGUACUGUCCCAUGGCCGUCUCCAGGAGGAACAUCGGGAUGCCACACGCAAGCAGAAACAGGACGUAGGGAAUCAGAAAGGCACCUGAGAGAAAAAACACAGGUAGGGGAACCUCCAGAGGUUUCCCAGUCCAACCAGCGUCCCCGCUACGGCCAGCAGGAACUCCAGUUUGUUUGCCCACUGGCCGCGGUCCAGCAGCGGUGACUUCUUUCCGGAGGAGCCUCC